rnacentral:rRNA from 1 species
GAGUUUGAUCAUGGCUCAGAUUGAACGCUGGCGGCAGGCCUAACACAUGCAAGUCGAACGGUAACAGGAAGAAGCUUGCUUCUUUGCUGACGAGUGGCGGACGGGUGAGUAAUGUCUGGGAAACUGCCUGAUGGAGGGGGAUAACUACUGGAAACGGUAGCUAAUACCGCAUAACGUCGCAAGACCAAAGAGGGGGACCUUCGGGCCUCUUGCCAUCGGAUGUGCCCAGAUGGGAUUAGCUAGUAGGUGGGGUAACGGCUCACCUAGGCGACGAUCCCUAGCUGGUCUGAGAGGAUGACCAGCCACACUGGAACUGAGACACGGUCCAGACUCCUACGGGAGGCAGCAGUGGGGAAUAUUGCACAAUGGGCGCAAGCCUGAUGCAGCCAUGCCGCGUGUAUGAAGAAGGCCUUCGGGUUGUAAAGUACUUUCAGCGGGGAGGAAGGGAGUAAAGUUAAUACCUUUGCUCAUUGACGUUACCCGCAGAAGAAGCACCGGCUAACUCCGUGCCAGCAGCCGCCGUAAUACGGAGGGUGCAAGCGUUAAUCGGAAUUACUGGGCGUAAAGCGCACGCAGGCGGUUUGUUAAGUCAGAUGUGAAAUCCCCGGGCUCAACCUGGGAACUGCAUCUGAUACUGGCAAGCUUGAGUCUCGUAGAGGGGGGUAGAAUUCCAGGUGUAGCGGUGAAAUGCGUAGAGAUCUGGAGGAAUACCGGUGGCGAAGGCGGCCCCCUGGACGAAGACUGACGCUCAGGUGCGAAAGCGUGGGGAGCAAACAGGAUUAGAUACCCUGGUAGUCCACGCCGUAAACGAUGUCGACUUGGAGGUUGUGCCCUUGAGGCGUGGCUUCCGGAGCUAACGCGUUAAGUCGACCGCCUGGGGAGUACGGCCGCAAGGUUAAAACUCAAAUGAAUUGACGGGGGCCCGCACAAGCGGUGGAGCAUGUGGUUUAAUUCGAUGCAACGCGAAGAACCUUACCUGGUCUUGACAUCCACAGAACUUUCCAGAGAUGGAUUGGUGCCUUCGGGAACUGUGAGACAGGUGCUGCAUGGCUGUCGUCAGCUCGUGUUGUGAAAUGUUGGGUUAGGUCCCGCAACGAGCGCAACCCUUAUCUUUUGUUGCCAGCGGUCCGGCCGGGAACUCAAAGGAGACUGCCAGUGAUAAACUGGAGGAAGGUGGGGAUGACGUCAAGUCAUCAUGGCCCUUACGACCAGGGCUACACACGUGCUACAAUGGCGCAUACAAAGAGAAGCGACCUCGCGAGAGCAAGCGGACCUCAUAAAGUGCGUCGUAGUCCGGAUUGGAGUCUGCAACUCGACUCCAUGAAGUCGGAAUCGCUAGUAAUCGUGGAUCAGAAUGCCACGGUGAAUACGUUCCCGGGCCUUGUACACACCGCCCGUCACACCAUGGGAGUGGGUUGCAAAAGAAGUAGGUAGCUUAACCUUCGGGAGGGCGCUUACCACUUUGUGAUUCAUGACUGGGGUGAAGUCGGAACAAGGUAACCGUAGGGGAACCUGCGGUUG